UGCAUGUGUGAGCCUGGCUGGGGUAGGUUUGUCUCAGCACGUAUUUAUUGCUGCAGCUGCCACAGCUAGCAGUGAGCAUGGAAGACUUUCUCCUGUUUUCCCUUCAGUCUUGAGAUACGUCAAAUAGUUCAUUCCAGGACUCCGCUUCAGGUAUGAAUGCUGGUGCCAGGACUGCUGUACCCCAGGUUCCCUAGCUCUGAAAUUCACUCCCAUUGGAAACCUGCCCUGGCUUCUGUGGGAUGGGGUUCCUGACAGUAGGGGAGAAAGCAGAGCAGAUCCAAGGAAGGGCCCAAAUGACACAUUCCUGGAAACAUAUAAAGAAGACAAAGCAGGAG
rnacentral:lncRNA from 14 species